rnacentral:lncRNA from 10 species
CAAAUGGAAGUGAAUUAACGACACUGGUUAGUGCCUGGGAAGGUUCAGUCCAGUGGGUGAGUCAGGGCAGCAAGGAGUCCACAGAUGAUGAUAAAAACUGGGUCUAUUAUAUUCCAAUCAUUUCAUUAGGCUCUGCAGAUACUAAAAGAAAGAAUUGUAUAAAAGCAUUAAUAGUUGACCCUCUACAGGUAAGAAGGGGCAAAAUCAUAAAAUGUCUUGAGUGGCAGGCUUUAAAAAGUUGGUGUUUUGUUCUGAGGUUGACAUAUGAACAUCUAGGGGAGAACAUGGCGGGAUGUAAAUUUCAGAAAAAUCAGCCUAGGUAACGGUUCAAUUCAACAAAUAUACGUUAAGAAUCUUCUGAGAGCCUGGGCCUGGGAGUGUGCCAGGCAGUGGAGAUACAGUGAUAAAUGCUUGCUGAAGAGCGCUAAGGGACAAUGUCCAGAAAAAGAGCAGGCCUAACGGCAUCUUUUUAGCAAGUUUCCUGGCAGUAAAGUGAAAAAGGAUGAAUGACAGCAACUUAGUUUACUUGCAGCUUCCUGUAAAUUUAGUCAUCUGAACAAGAGGGGACUGAACUGUUUCAAAACAGAAAUUGUUUCAUGGACACUGGCCAGUCUACAAGCAGAGCACUCUCAUGGGGAGCACCAGAUGAGUUCCAG